GUUGGUUUCCCAAACUGGAUAAAUAAACCAUAAAACGCGACUUUCAAGUUUGGACAGUCGACUUCUUUUGCCUGCGUACAAGAUCUUAUCUCAGUGCAGCAGUGGCUUGUGGAUUUUUAAUUGUUGGACGUUUGGUUGGUCAAACUAACGGAAUCACCACUACAUAAAGUAAAAACUCUUGCCCGUGGACCAGAAGGAAUAAUCCUUCAUUAAUGGAUAUGUUGGAUAUAUAGAUUUCAUGGAUCACCAUCGAACAAAAGUUAUUAGAUCGUCUUUGGAGUAAUCCAGACGGACUUGCUGCUUGAGGCUUGGAUCAACACGUCACUCAUUCAUCAACACUGAGCUGCCCAAGCAUAUGCUGCUCCUAGAUGUAAAGACCAUAUGGAACUCUCUGUAUUUGAUGAAGGAGAGAUUCUGCGAGCAGUUUCCUGCCAUCCAGGCUGCAGCCAUCGAUCCACGGAUAAGAAAGUCCAUGAAAAAGGAAAGACUGGCUAAAAUGGGCAAUGAUGACUUAAGAAAAGCAGAGGAGUUUGUGGUGCUCAUGCGGAAGCACUACACCUCCACACCAGCAGCGACAAAAGUCCGACCUGUGGUGAGAUUCUGCUCAUCCUGCAAAAGCUACUGCAACACUACACCGUGCAAGAAGAUGACUCUGUCUUCACAAGGAGCAUAAAGGAGAACAUUUGGAAAGAUCUUUCCAAAUGAUACCAGGAUGCUGAUAUCCAGAGAUUCCUGGGGAGAGAGAGAGA